UACGAAGGGUGCAAGCGUUACUCGGAAUUACUAGGCGUAAAGCGUGCGUAGGUGGUUUGUUAAGUCUGAUGUGAAAGCCCUGGGCUCAACCUGGGAACUGCAUUGGAAACUGGCUUACUAGAGUGCGGUAGAGGGUGUGGAAUUCCCGGUGUAGCAGUGAAAUGCGUAGAUAUCGGAAGGAACACCAGUGGCGAAAGCGGCUCCUGGUCCAGCACCGACGUUCAGGCACGAAAGCGUGGGGAGCAAACAGG
rnacentral:rRNA from 1 species